rnacentral:tRNA from 1 species
GGCGGUGUAGCUCAGUUGGUUAGAGCAGUGGAAUCAUAAUCCAAAGGUCGUGGGUUCAAAUCCCUCCACCGCUACCA